rnacentral:rRNA from 1 species
GACGAACGCUGGCGGCGUGCUUAACACAUGCAAGUCGAACGGAAAGGCCCUGCUUUUGUGGGGUGCUCGAGUGGCGAACGGGUGAGUAACACGUGAGUAACCUGCCCUUGACUUUGGGAUAACUUCAGGAAACUGGGGCUAAUACCGGAUAGGAGCUCCUGCUGCAUGGUGGGGGUUGGAAAGUUUCGGCGGUUGGGGAUGGACUCGCGGCUUAUCAGCUUGUUGGUGGGGUAGUGGCUUACCAAGGCUUUGACGGGUAGCCGGCCUGAGAGGGUGACCGGCCACAUUGGGACUGAGAUACGGCCCAGACUCCUACGGGAGGCAGCAGUGGGGAAUAUUGCACAAUGGGCGGAAGCCUGAUGCAGCAACGCCGCGUGCGGGAUGACGGCCUUCGGGUUGUAAACCACUUUCGCCUGUGACGAAGCGUGAUUGACGGUAAUGGGUAAAGAAGCACCGGCUAACUACGUG